rnacentral:rRNA from 1 species
GACGUAGGUGGCGAACGUUAUCCGGAAUUAUUGGGCGUAAAGGGUGCGUAGAUGGUCUGAUAAGUUAGCAGUGGUAAAUCGAGGCUCAACCUGGAGGGGUCGGGCGAGACUGCGGGGCUAGAGGCGGGCAGAGGCCGGUGGAAUUUCGGGUGUAGUGGUGGAAUGCGUAGAGAUCCGGAGGAACACCAGUGGCGAAGGCGGCCGGCUGGGCCUGUCCUGACGCUGAGGCGCGAAAGCGUGGGGAGCGAUCCGG